AACCGCGAACGGCUCAUUAUAACAGCUGUAAUUUACUUGAUCUUGACAAUCCUACUUGGAUAACUGAGGUAAUUCUUGAGCCAAUACAUGCACCAAAGCUCUGACCUUACGGGAAGAGUGCAUUUAUUAGAACAAAACCAAGCGGCUUCGGUCGUUUUUUGUUGACUCAGAAUAACUUAGCUGAUCGCAUGGUCUUGUACCGGCGACGUGUCUUUCAAGCAUCUGCCUUAUCAACUUUCGAUGGUAGUGUAUCUGACUACCAUGGUGGUGACGGGUAACGGAGGAUAAGGGUUCGACUCCGGAGAAGGGGCCUGAGAAAUGGCCACUACGUCUAAGGAUGGCAGCAGGCGCGCAAAUUACCCACUCUCAGUGCGAGGAGGUAGUGACGAGAAAUAACGAGAUCGUUCUCUAUGAGGCCGAUCAUCGGAAUGGGUACAAUCUAAACCCUUUAACGAGUAUCUAUGAGAGGGCAAGUCUGGUGCCAGCAGCCGCGGUAAUUCCAGCUCUCAAAAUGCAUAGAAUCAUUGCUGCGGUUAAAAAGCUCGUAGUUGGAUCUGUGCCGGGGAUUUGGUGCAUUCUCUGAAUGUCUACUGACUUCCCGGCUUUCGGCUGGUUUUCCCUCUGUGGCCUUUACUGGUUGCAUUGGGUGGCUGGCGCGUUUACUUUGAAUAAAUCAGAGUGCUUAACACAGGCGUUUCGCUUGAAUGUUCGUGCAUGGAAUAAUAGAAGAGGAUUUCGGUUCUAUUUUAUUGGUUUUCUGGACUGAGAUAAU
rnacentral:rRNA from 1 species